AACAUCAACACUGAGCUCGCGAGCGUAGAGAGACAGCGCGCGCGACGCUUCGUCUUAAAAAAAAUAACACUUAUUAUCUGAAUGCGGGGAAAACGGCAGGAUCGGACCGCGUUUAGAGAGUAAAAUCGCCUGCGAUCUAGUGUCGACGAGCACAGUACGAGCCGAUUGUGGAGCCGAAGGAGAAAAGGGGGCUAUCGCUCAGCUGCGCAUGUAGAAAACCUGCGAUUUUAAAAAAAUAAUAUAUAAAAAUAACACUCGAUGCGAGGAAAAAUAUUGAAAAAUUCUGGAAAAUACCAGAGGGUUUUAAGAUUGGGAUUCUGCGCGGCGGUGGUGAAGAUUGUGUCAUUUUGGGUUUUUUUCACGUCGCUUUUUGAGCGGGAGUAACGGACGAGCCGCUGGCGCAGAUACACGCAGUUCAGUCCGAGUGUGUGAUGCAGCAGACUCUGAACUCAGAUUAUAGAGGAGACAUCAGCCUUUUUAGCCGGAAAGGAAUGUAGAGCACACGGCAUGACACUGAGCUGUGACACAGUCAAGUAACUGUAAGUACGCCACUGGUUGAACCAUUUUAACUAUACUGGUUAUAAGAAGCAUGGUUUAGUUGAAUUAUUUUCUGAAAUGCAUAAAAUACCGGGAGUAUAUAGAAGAAGAAAACAAGUCCUAUAUCCUCAUGAAGUGCCUAACAAAGAGAAAACAAGAAAGUGAAAGGCAUACAGACAAAGCAAACAACACAAGUAAAUAUUAUAAUGUGGGAGGUUACAGGCUUUUGUCAGGGAGCGCUAUUUUUUUUUUUUCUCCCAGAAGUCCAUGGGGCUCUUUUCAUAACCUGUAAUUGUACCCUUAUAGACAGCAGAUGCUUCACUGUACACCAAAAGUUUAUUGUUAGUAUUGGAUCACCUGGUACAAUAGCACAUGUGCGUUUACUGAAUGGAACAGAUACCUGGGGGUUUACAAAAACAACUAACAUCAGAAAUAGAACAUGAUAAAUAUUGAAAGUUAGUCAUGCGUGAAAUUGUUAUUAUUAGCCCGUUAUUUUGCACUUUGCACACUUCAUGUAAAUUCACUCCCGCAUAAGAGUCAUUUCAAAGAUAGUUUUGGGCUCAACCGUAUGCAAGCUUCAGCUUACUCAUAUGGUUCUUUAAAAAUUCACGUCUUGACUGAUUUGAAUUACCUAUAUGAAUCUACUUGCAAAUCUUAUAUUGAAUAUGAAAAUAGUUUUAGAAAAAUACAAUUCAAUUAGACAGCUUGCAUAAAUACACUAUACACUAUCAGUUCGUAUGUUUUAACAGUUGCUGGUUUUCUGAAGUUAUCUGCUUUUGUCAAAUCUCUCUAAAUGAAGGUUUGGAUACAGUGAACUUUUUAAUCACAGUGCACACUUACCUGGUAAUGGUGAUUUCAUCAGUGAGAGGCAGGCAGGUUGUGUAAGAACGGUGUGAAUAUCAUGUUUUUCUCAGAACAGGUACCAAAUUACCACAACUGACCAGAGAGUUAAGAGUAUGCAAAUAGAUUUUGAGCACUGUGUACUUCUCCAGAAAAAGCCACUGUAGAAUAGAAAUGUGCUGUUAAAAAUAGAAGACAGUUAAAAAAAAAAGCUAUAGUUAAAUAGUGUAAGGAGCAGCAAUGUAACAUUUAUAUAACAUUUCUAAAAAGAAACAUUUUAUAUCUUUAAAAACAGAGAUGCUCACUUAAUCUUUGCAUUUGUCAACUUUGCUUUUCAUGAUGUAACAGACUUUUAAAAAUGGAAAACAAUGCAUUUGACCUUGAAACUAGAUAUUGGCAGCUGCCAGUUUUUUUUCUGGUUCCCAUUUAAAACAAAAACUAAAGAAUUAUCUUUACUGGACUCCUAAAGUAGAUACACUUUUCUAGAAUAGAUCUAGAGUAGAAACACUUUCACUUGUUUUCAUACAUGAUUAUGUUAGUGAUCCAUGCAUGUCCUGCUGCAUUUGCAUAGCAAAACCAAACGGUGAGAAAUAAGUUCACAAAGCCUCAGGAAGUCUCACGUUUUAAUCAGAACUGCCGCUUGGUAUUUUAUCUUUAUUCUUGAUUUUAGAUUCUAAUGUCCUGAGCAAGCCUUUUUAUUUUUUGUCCUCGAAGUCAGUUUGACACCAUUUCAUUAAAGCAGGUAGUCAUACUGACACUAAUUACUCAUUGUCUUUUUAUUGAUCCUGUGUUUUCAGGUUGCGAGACGCGGAGCGUGUCUGUGCGGCGGUGUGGGCGCUCGUGCGCUCGGCGCGGGGCCUGUCGGUACUGUAGCAGCACAGAAUGGUUUGUGAGUUAUAACGGGGGUGCAGGCCGUACUGUGCUGCGGCAAGAACGACAGGACAUACGCGCACGUCACAUUCAAACGAGUGAAAAGGCAGCAGCAAGACUACGUGUGCCGGCGAGUCUCCUGAACUUGGCCGUGUGACUGACUGGCUGCCUGGCUGUAGCAGCACGUAAAUAUUGGAGUCAAAGCACUAGCGAAUCCUCCAAUAUUGACCGUGCUGCUGGAGUUAGGCGGGCCGUUUACCGUCUGCGGCGGCCUGUGUGCUUCGGGAUCACUCAUCAGGAAAACACAAGAAGAUUAACGACUGACUAAUAACAUACUGUGCACAUGCCGGUGUUCUGAACGCUUUUAUUCUGAGAACGGAUGACAUGGAAUUUGAUAAAACUUCAAAUAAGCUGUGUAUAAUUAUGUAAUUUCAGUUUAAAUGAGUCAGAUGCUUCUCUAAAAGUGCUUGGAUCUCGUUGAUACAAUUUAUGUACAUGGAAAAAUGCAAUAAAGGAAAAUACAAUUUAAAAACAUUAAAAUCACAACGAUUGCAUCAAGGAAAAUUAAUUGUGUAGAGUCGCGUUGCGCGCGAAUUCUGCAGUUGGUCAAAUACAUAAAUCUGCCACAUUUCUCACACCAAGUUCUAAUAAGAAUAUUUAGACUAUAAUGUGCAGUUCCUGUUGCCUAUUAUGGACGAAGCACAUCGUUAUAAAAACAGAAAACCGUUAUAAAAUGUGUCGUAUUACAGUGUUAAGCAUCAUCACAUCACCUUCCAUCUUUAUUUUCACAUUUUGAAUUACGCAGCAUCGCCAUCUUCUGGGAAACUUUAAAUGGUUUGACGUUUUCAGCUCGCCUCUCGUUUCUUUUAAGUUAAGAUUUAGGGGAGGGGUUCUGACAGAAUCACUUCGUAGAUCGGCCCCUUUUGGUACUUUGCGCUGUUUGUUUUGAUCCUCGCGUUUCUUUCCCUCUGCAAAGGUCGUUAAUAUCAAGUCUAUUUACACUCCCUCUCAGUUGAAACGCUCGGGUUUCUCCUCCAGCGAUACUGAGGAAACCAUCCUUCAAAAUCGUGUCCACCAUCAGGACAAGAUUAAGAAAAGCUUGCGUUCGUCUGGAUCAAUUGUACAAAAAUCAGUCAAAUAAGCAAAUGAAAGAUGAACAUGCGAUAUAAAAAUGCGAAUCUAUAUAAAACUUUAAGGGUACUUCAAACCGAAACACUAAGUUGACCCUGUUGCCUCAAUCAAGGGAUACGAAUGACCAAAAAUCACAGGGACUAACCUAAAUUUUUGCUCAAAUUUAAUGGACUUGGUUUAGAAGUGACUGAACUCCAAUAUCUAGCCACACGAAGAUGCGCUUGUUUGAAUGUACCUGAACCUUAAUUGAAAUGACAGAACUCAAGGACGGACAUAAAGGCGACGAGUCGUAUUUUGGGUCGUUCAGUACAAGCAGAUGUUCUUGCCUUUAAAAUAAUUUAUUAAAAGAAACCCUGAUUAUCAUGGACGACGGGACCUCACAUGUAUGAUGGCAGUUGUUCCUAAUCCCAAAAAAGGAACAUGACAGUAAAUGUGGUUGAACGAAGCCUCAGAAUAUCUUGAAAAAAUACAUGUCUGUGUGCAACUGACCAUCAACUAAUUUUAAUUUGAGCAUUCACUCAAUAUCCACUUGACACUUUCACAGUGAAUAUCUGUCCGUAGAAAGUUAAAACUCGGACUACACGUAAUAAUUACUAAAAAUGCUCAAAAAAGAGCACUGAUUGUCCUUAAUGGUUAUUGGUUGUAUUAAAGAUGCAUAAUAUAUAAAAAAAAAACACUAUUUAGAUUCUCAGUGGUAGGAUGCCAUACAACUGAUUUCGUUCGUAAAAAUCAACGGAGGUGUACAAGGAAAAAAGUUAUUGGUGUGGAGCUAUGCACUUUAAACCUUACUGUUCUAGGUAAAACAUACACAAAACGUAAAUCUAUAAAAUCAUUUUAUUUUGAUUGGUCACUUACGAUUAUGUAACAGAAACUUUUUUUGAAUAUCGAGAAACUGGUGUGAAUAGGUUUGGUGCCACUGGUAUUACUGGAUUUGUUGUCUUCCACAGAAUCUGACUAAAUGGAUUCGUUUUAACUAUAGUCGAAAUGAGGUGCCCUAACUUGACACAUUAUGAGUCCUUUGAUGUCAUAUCCACCUCUAUUGUACAUUGUAUUACGUAAUAAAAAGCAGGUACGUAUGAAAUCAAUGAUAUUGUCGAACGACAUGCAUGACAGACAUAUUAGCGAACCGAUAAAAACGAGAGAAAAUAGGGCAGAAACCACGUCACUUUCUUUUGCUCUUACGUCACUCCCUUCUCAUGUCACUGAGGUUAUUCUUUCCCUAGGCUGAACUACAGCUUAAAUACUGUACUUAUGAAAUCGCACUGAACACUUUCUGAAGCGGAAAUUCAUAGUGCACCCAAAAGGGCUGCAUAACUUUUUUUUUCUUUCCUUCUGAAUAAGCUAUUCUUGGCAGGUAAGGCGAGAUCAUACCCGGUAAUUUCCACAGAAACAUCAUUUGGCGUGUCACAGCUGAGCAACGCGCAGGUUCACGGUGAAAUCUGAUUGGGCAGUUCUGAAAAUAACGGUUUUGUUAUCAUUCAAAAGGCUCAAGGCAAGCAGAUAAGUGCGCUCAUGAUUAUCAUCUCAUCGCUGUUUCUAAACUUGUUUAUGACAUACUGCGAAAGCAAACAGACCUCGCUAUAACAUCACUUCAUUUGUCAUCACCUGCAUCUCAAAAUCACAUGGCGAACCCGGCAAAGUUAGUAUAAGUCUGUACCCUAUUCAAAAAGUAGUAAGUUAAAACGCUCUCUCGCCAUUACAAGAUAGCGACUAUGUAUGAAUUAUUAAACUAGCUUAAGCUAAAUCAGAAAACAUUUUUAAAAAGGUUGACAUGAAGACCAUGAUGAAACACUGUGCCUACUUUACCUUCUUUUGGUCCAUUUACCUCGACAUCUGCU